AGAAUUUAGUGAACCAUGUAAUUAUUAUGAGAUUUUAUUUGGAGUUCAAUUAUUUGGAGCUCAACCCAAUGGGGUAUUUAGCUAAGGAAGGAUUUUAGUGCAAAGUAUGACAACCCAAUAUUUUUAUUGGAGUUUAAACUAAUUUAUGAAACAAAAGUUUCAUAAUAGAUUUUGAAAUCUAUUUUGAUUAUUAGUUAUAAAGCCCUAAAGGCAAAUAUAUAAGCAAAGAUAUUUUUAAAUAUUUUAUUUUGAAAGGAUCCAAGUCACAAAAGCUGACACCUUGGAGGAUUUGAAUUUACAAAUUUUUUGGAGUUUAUUUGGACUUAUUUGUAGUUAUGAAUCAAAAGAUAUAGAUGAAAAAAGAAAAAGAAAGAAAAGAGAAAGGACCGACCCAAAUUGGGCCGGCCCAUCUCCCCUCGGCCCAGCCGAGCGAGCACGAGCACCCUCCUUUGCGUGGGA
rnacentral:lncRNA from 1 species